GAUGAACGCUGGCGGCGUGCCUAAUACAUGCAAGUCGAGCGAACGGACGAGAAGCUUGCUUUUCUGAUGUUAGCGGCGGACGGGUGAGUAACACGUGGAUAACCUACCUAUAAGACUGGGAUAACUUCGGGAAACCGGAGCUAAUACCGGAUAAUAUUUUGAACCGGAUGGUUCAAAAGUGAUAGACGGUCUUGCUGUCACUUAUAGAUGGAUCCGCGCUGCAUUAGCUAGUUGGUAAGGUAACGGCUUACCAAGGCAACGAUGGAUAGCCGACCUGAGAGGGUGAUCGGCCACACUGGAACUGAGACACGGUCCAGACUCCUACGGGAGGCAGCAGUAGGGAAUCUUCCGCAAUGGGCGAAAGCCUGACGGAGCAACGCCGCGUGAGUGAUGAAGGUCUUCGGAUCGUAAAACUCUGUUAUUAGGGAAGAACAUAUGUGUAAGUAACUGUGCACAUCUUGACGGUACCUAAUCAGAAAGCCACGGCUAACUACGUG
rnacentral:rRNA from 1 species